rnacentral:tRNA from 1 species
GCCCCUAUAGCUCAGUUGGAAGAGCACCUGACUCUUAAUCAGGGUGUCCCAGGUUCGAGACCUGGUGGGGGUA